CGACCAUCGGGGCGAAGAAAUACGAGAUGUGCUCGGGGCGUAGCACCUCGUCGAGCGGAUGAUGCGUCCAGGCAUCGAAGGAAUUGCCGUGCAUCAGCUCAUCGCCAACGCGGCAGAAAUCGGCGCGCCGCAGGCUGCGGGUAUCGG
rnacentral:misc_RNA from 1 species